UAACACGAAUAACAUAACAUUUACCUAAUAUUUUCUUUUAAAAUUAAAAUCUUUUUUCGUCUUAUAUUAAAUUUUCGAAUAGAUUUCACAAAUUUUAUCUUUAGCUUUUAAUGUUAUUCUUCUCGGUCGUCAUAGCAACGUUUACAAAACCGUUACUAUGACGACAGCGAAUUGUUUGUAGAAAACAUCGAAUGGGUGGACUAGAGAAACCUUACGGCUUUUAAUUACAAAACUUUAUUUAAAUAAAACUUGAAGGAAAUGAAGAUACAUGUCAAAAAUGGAGAUGACAGUCAGUUUCUUUAUGAAACUGUGACUGAUGCUGAAACAAGUUUGAUACUAAGUGAUAUUGUUGCUAUCUACAAUGGAAGAUUAAAAGUUGGAAGGAUUGCUGGAGAAAUAGAAGAAUUAUCUAAACAUGGAAUAUUUCUGCCACCAAAUAUGCAGGGAUUGACAGAAGAACAAAUUGAAGAAUUAAAACUUAAAGAUGAAUGGGGUGAAAAAUGUAUUCCUAGUGGUGGCUUUAUUGAAAACAAAGAUCCUAUAGGAAGAAGAAAUGGAAAAGCUCCAAAUGACAAAAUGGCAGAAGUUUUAAAUAAAACUGCUAGUGAAGCAAAAGCUAAAAUUUCACGAAAACUUGUGCAAUCAGAUAUAUCUUUAAACCAAAUAGUUAUAAAAGAUGCAUUGGAUAUAUUACGUGGAGCAGUGAUGAUAGUUUAUCCAAUGGGUUUACCACCAUAUGAACCAAUACAUUUAGAAUUAGAAAAUCAAGAAGAUUUGUCAGGAACACAGGCAUCAAAUGAAGUAAUAGAAGAAAAUUUAGCUCAACUUUGGUGGGCUGGUAAAGAAAUCCAACGAGGAAAGAAGCUAAAAGAUUACGUAGGAACUAAUGAAAAAACUAAAAUCGUUGCCAAAUUACAAAAAAAAGGACAAGGCCCCCCUUCUAGAGAACCUAUUUUAACAGAAGAUGAAAAAAAACAGUUAAUGAUACAAGCUUAUAGAAGACAAGAAGAAUUGAAGAAACUUGAAGAAGCUGAUGAUGAUAGCUAUUUAAAUUCAGAAUGGGCAAAUAAUAAUUCCUUAAAGAAAUCUUUUCAAGGAUUAAAAAACAUCAAAUGGAGACCAUGAACAAGAGGUUAAAGAAUGAAUUGUGUAAUGCCAUUAUUGUAUUAACAGUAUUGUUCUUUGUUUAAAUUAAAUUUAUUAAAUUUAUUCUGUUAAUAAAAAUACAUAUUAUUAAAAAACAUCAAAUGGAGACCAUGAACAAGAGG